GUCAUAUAUACGUGUAACCUCAGCUUCGUCUGUGCAUGCGCCCUACAGAAGAGUUGGCGACGUUUUCUGCUGUUUUAUAAAAGUAUUAUUUAAAAUGUGUUAUAUUUUACUACAUUUAAUAUUUCUGUCACCAUGGUUAUCGGUGUGUCUGCAGGUCCCAGUAAAGGGUAUUAUUGGUGGUUCUGUUGUCCUACCGUGUUCUUCAAUUGAACAUCAUCUUAACCUUCAAGACAUUAAUGUGCACUGGAGACACGAUUACACUGAGAUCGUGUAUGAUAUAAUUAAGGGUGAAGCUUCAGUAAAGUUACAGGACCCACUGUACAAGAACAGAGCUGAAUCUUUUCCUGAGGAGUAUUUAAGUGGAAACUUCUCCCUCAAACUCAACAAUCUCACUCACACUGAUGCAGGAGACUUCAUCUGCUACAUCACAAACCCAUCUGAUUCUCAACAGGAGACUGUACAACUGAUCAUCAAUGAAUUAACAGCAGAUAAAGGAAACACAUCCACUGAACACGAAAACCAAGGAGAAACAAUACCAGACGGUGUGGAGACACCAUGGUACUGGAUUUUAUUAUUUGUAAUUUUGAUAAUUUUGAUAAUAAUUGCAGCCUGUUGCAUCAGAAAUCGCAAAAGAAAAAGACCUCAGGAUGCCUUAUAGAAAGAACAGUGAGAUGAACAAAGAUCAUUCACAUAUAUUGUAUUAUAUAUUGUAAGAACCAGUUGUUUAGAUUCUCCUCUCUCACACUUACUGAAUGCCUUAUUUCAAUGCUCUCAAUAGCCAAAAAAAAGAUGUUCUUUUCAUGCUACCUUUCAUGCUACCUUUACGUGCUAUUGGAAUUAUCGUAAAUUCAAGUUUCCUGAUCGGAAAUUAAACGUGAACAGCUCUCAAGUCGUAUUUUCUAUUGGGAAAUUCGGAAAUAAUUUUGAAACCAGUUUCCAGAUUGGGCGAGCUAUACAUUUUAAACAUGUUGGAGGGAACAACCAUUGCUAUCAUCGGUGCUAUUCUUACAACGACUACAUCACUUUGUCUUGUCGCUAAAGUAGUGCAUUUAUAGGUUAUAUAUGAAUGAUCAUUUGAAGCAUAUUGUGUCUUUUAUAAACAGUAAAGUAAGGUUGUAAUCAAACUUCAUAAGUGGGACAUAGGACGUUUCCGAUAGCACAUGAAGGCAGCAUUAGUGCUUCAGACACUUAAUGCAAAUUGUUCUGUAAAUUGUAAAUAGAAGUUUUAGGGAUUCUUAUUUGACAUGUUGAUCUGAUUCUCUUUAUGCUAAUAUUCAAACAUCAAAAGCCUUUGACCAAUGCAUGCUUAUUUUACUUACUUACUUACUUAUUUAUUUAUUUAUUUAUUUAUUGUAAGAAAGUACCAUUGCAUUACAAAGUCUUUUUUCCAAAUUAAUUUUUGUCUCUGCAUUAGCCCUCCAAUACUGCACAUUCUGCAUAUCUCCUUUGUCUGACACACCCAUUUCAGGUCUUGGAGCAGAGAUUGCCUUACUAUAGUGAGAUGAGAGGGUCUGUAUUAUUUACUAUUGGAGUAAGCGUGAUGCUAGCUUGGAUCACAGGCCUUGAUAACCAAUCACAUUAAAGCCUUGACGUCAUUGAAUUUCAUACAGUGGGAAUGAAGAAGUAGUGUCGUAAGCUGAAUCCCACCUGUCGCAAAAAGUUAGUGACUUCUCUUGUUAAACAGCAUUUUUCUGUGGUAAACUAUAAAAUAGUUUAAUCCAAAAGCAUUGUUUAGUGUACAACAUGUUGAAGAUUAUCAUUAAAUGAUAAGACGUUUCCUCUAAAAAGCUGAUUAUUCAGCGCAUUAAAGCCUCUCCUCCAUUGACAUCCAUUCAAAAAAACGGCCUCUGGUCUUUUUUCCCACAUACUGCCAAACUUUAGCCGUUACGCUUUUUUGGCUAAUGGUUGCACGCUUGCCUUCUAGUGGCACUCUCUGUGUCCCAGUGUGCAUACUAUCCACCCUAACUGCCCUAAAUCGUAUUGAAAGUUACUAAUAUCCCGUAGCAUUUAGGAUGGAUAGUAUGCACAUUGAGACACAGGCUUUUCUAAUAAUGGGCUGUUGAAAUAAUCUGAAUCAGGUGUGUUUGAUUAAGGAGACAUGGAAAACAUGCAGUGCUUAUCUUUUAUCUUUUAUAAUAUUUAUUUUCUUUUGUACAUGCUUUUAAGGCAUAGUUUAAACUGUUCUUGUAUUCUAACAUUAAUUAUUAUUACUUAAUAAACAUUCCUGUAUUGUCAGUUCUCUGUCUGUCAUGUAUGGAUUAUUAAUAAUGAUAAAAGGCA